CAAAUUUUAGGUGUACCGCUUUUUUUUCGACUGAGUGUAUUUGUUCAUUUUUUCGAUUUUAAUUGUUAUACAUAUCAUGUACACGUACACUCACACGCACAAUUUAAAACUGAUUUUAUAUUAACCCUCAAUCGCUACCUAUGGGUCGCUUUCGUCCUGCUUAAAACUAUUAUUCUGAAUUUUUCGUACAACCACGAUGCUAGCGCCACCAAAGUUAUAGUAAAAAAAUCUUUGAGAGGGAAGGGUCUUCAGUGCACAAGGCUAGUCCGGUCCGUUAGUUCUACUCCAAACACCAGCCAGGUAAAAUUCGAAUAGGACGUUUUCGAUCCAUAGGUUUACGUACAUAAAGAUUACUUGAACGUCUACAAUAGAGGUUAAAAAUCCAGAAAGCAUUUAUUCAUUCCGUCUUCGAGAAGAAGUGCAGUAUAACAAAAUUUUGUAUUUUUACUAUGUAUUAAAUAAUAAUUUGUCAAAACUUUAAGCUGAAAAAAAAUUAUUGAUUUAUUGAUGUUUCCCUAUUUUACAAUGCUAUUCAUCAUCCUCGAAAAAUACCAAUUUUUAUAUGCUAAAAUUAGAUAUCUGCUUUCAGUCUACAUUGAUCAAACAUUUUUUUUCGUAAAGAGAAACCUUUUUCCUUCCAGAAAUUAAUUAAAAAAAUUUUUUUUCAAAAUUUUUACCAUCGCUAUACUUUUUUUUAAAUUAACUUUUUUACCAAUUUUUCUCACUGUUUACUAAAAAAUACAUAUUAAAUUUUUGGGGAAGGGGAGGUAAUAUAAUGGUAGUUUCUUAAAGAGAAAUGUUUAAAGAGUAUACAUAAAUUUUUUCAGAUUUUUUCAACUAUUAUUUAUAUGGUUAUAAGGACAAAGACGAAAAAGACCCAUAGGUAGGGUUAGAGGAUGCCGAAAAAUACGGUAGGGAUUGAGGAUUAACUUUUGCACAUGUAACAUAAUUAAGCAAAAAAGGAAUUAAAAAAUGGGCAGGUUUGUCGAGCAGCGAUUUUUAUUAUACAAAAUCUAUUGAAAGAGUUUGUUUCAAAUUAUACAAUAUCUUCUAUAUUUGUUGUAAAACAUGUUUCGUCUGUACAAAGUCGCCAGGGAUAGCCAUACCAGAGAUUAUAAGUAUUAGAUAAAUUAUAUCACUGUACAAUU